rnacentral:rRNA from 1 species
AUUGAACGCUGGCGGCAGGCCUAACACAUGCAAGUCGAGCGGAUGAAGGGAGCUUGCUCCUGGAUUCAGCGGCGGACGGGUGAGUAAUGCCUAGGAAUCUGCCUGGUAGUGGGGGAUAACGUCCGGAAACGGGCGCUAAUACCGCAUACGUCCUGAGGGAGAAAGUGGGGGAUCUUCGGACCUCACGCUAUCAGAUGAGCCUAGGUCGGAUUAGCUAGUUGGUGGGGUAAAGGCCUACCAAGGCGACGAUCCGUACCUGGUCUGAGAGGAUGAUCAGUCACACUGGAACUGAGACACGGUCCAGACUCCUACGGGAGGCAGCAGUGGGGAAUAUUGGACAAUGGGCGAAAGCCUGAUCCAGCCAUGCCGCGUGUGUGAAGAAGGUCUUCGGAUUGUAAAGCACUUUAAGUUGGGAGGAGGGGCAGUAAGUUAAUACCUUGCUGUUUUGACGUUACCAACAGAAUAAGCACCGGCUAACUUCGUG